rnacentral:rRNA from 1 species
UGGGGAUUUUUGCACAAUGGGGGAAACCCUGAUGCAGCGACGCCGCGUGAUUUAGAAGGCCUUCGGGUUGUAAAAAUCUUUUUUACGGGAUGAAAAUGACAGUACCGUAAGAAUAAGGUCCGGCUAAAUACGUGCCAGCAGCCGCGGUAAUACGUAUGGACCGAGCGUUGUCCGGAAUCAUUGGGCGUAAAGGGUACGUAGGCGGCCUAGUAAGUUAGAAGUGAAAUAAUAUAGCUCAACUAUAUAAAGCUUUUAAAACUGCUAGGCUUGAGAGAUGGAAGGGAAAGUGGAAUUCCUAGUGUAGCGGUGAAAUGCGCAGAUAUUAGGAAGAAUACCGGUGGCGAAGGCGACUUUCUGGUCAUCAUCUGACGCUGAGGUACGAAAGGGAGGGUAGCAAACAGG